rnacentral:rRNA from 1 species
CGGCCACAUUGGGACUGAGACACGGCCCAGACUCCUACGGGAGGCAGCAGUGGGGAAUAUUGCACAAUGGGGGAAACCCUGAUGCAGCGACGCCGCGUGGAGGAAGAAGGUCUUCGGAUUGUAAACUCCUGUUGUUGAGGAAGAUAAUGACGGUACUCAACAAGGAAGUGACGGCUAACUACGUGCCAGCAGCCGCGGUAAAACGUAGGUCACAAGCGUUGUCCGGAAUUACUGGGUGUAAAGGGAGCGCAGGCGGGAAGACAAGUUGGAAGUGAAAUCUAUGGGCUCAACCCAUAAACUGCUUUCAAAACUGUUUUUCUUGAGUAGUGCAGAGGUAGGCGGAAUUCCCGGUGUAGCGGUGGAAUGCGUAGAUAUCGGGAGGAACACCAGUGGCGAAGGCGGCCUACUGGGCACCAACUGACGCUGAGGCUCGAAAGUGUGGGUAGCAAACAGGAUUAGAUACCCUGGUAGUCCACACCGUAAACGAUGAUUACUAGGUGUUGGAGGAUUGACCCCUUCAGUGCCGCAGUUAACACAAUAAGUAAUCCACCUGGGGAGUACGACCGCAAGGUUGAAACUCAAAGGAAUUGACGGGGGCCCGCACAAGCAGUGGAGUAUGUGGUUUAAUUCGACGCAACGCGAAGAACCUUACCAAGUCUUGACAUCCUGCGACGCACAUAGAAAUAUGUGUUUCCUUCGGGACGCAGAGACAGGUGGUGCAUGGUUGUCGUCAGCUCGUGUCGUGAGAUGUUGGGUUAAGUCC